GCCGCCUAACUGGGAAUACUCCCUACUGACCAUGGUGAUCCCGGAGCUCUCACUUCACUCGUAAUGAAGGGGUCAAGGGUUCGAUUCCCUUAGGCGGCUCCA
rnacentral:tRNA from 1 species